GAUGAACGCUGGCGGCGUGCCUAAUACAUGCAAGUCGAGCGAACGGACGAGAAGCUUGCUUCUCUGAUGUUAGCGGCGGACGGGUGAGUAACACGUGGAUAACCUACCUAUAAGACUGGGAUAACUUCGGGAAACCGGAGCUAAUACCGGAUAAUAUUUUGAACCGCAUGGUUCAAAAGUGAAAGACGGUCUUGCUGUCACUUAUAGAUGGAUCCGCGCUGCAUUAGCUAGUUGGUAAGGUAACGGCUUACCAAGGCAACGAUGCAUAGACGACCUGAGAGGGUGAUCGGCCACACUGGAACGGAGACACGGUCCAGACUCCUACGGGAGGCAGCAGUAGGGAAUCGUCCGCAAUGGGCGAAAGCCUGACGGAGCAACGCCGCGUGAGUGAUGAAGGUCUUCGGAUCGUAAAACUCUGUUAUUAGGGAAGAACAUAUGUGUAAGUAACUGUGCACAUCUUGACGGUACCUAAUCAGAAAGCCACGGCUAACUACGU
rnacentral:rRNA from 1 species